CAGCAGGCGCGAAAACUUUGCAAUGCGGGAAACCGUGACAGGGGAACUCCGAGUGCCCGUUAAAUCGGGCUGUCCAUCGGUUUAAAUAACCGGUGAAGAAAGGGCCGGGCAAGACCGGUGCCAGCCGCCGCGGUAAUACCGGCGGCUCGAGUGGUGGCCACUAUUACUGGGCUUAAAGCGUUCGUAGCUGGUUUGUUAAGUCUCUGGGGAAAUCUUCCGGCUUAACCGGAAGGCGUCUCAGGGAUACUGGCAGACUAGGGACCGGGAGAGGUGAGGGGUACUCCAGGGGUAGGAGUGAAAUCCUGUAAUCCUUGGGGGACCACCUGUGGCGAAGGCGCCUCACCAGAACGGCUCCGACAGUGAGGGACGAAAGCUGGGGGAGCAAACCGGAUUAGAUACCCGGGUAGUCCCAGCUGUAAACGAUGCGCGUUAGGUGUAUCGGUGACCACGAGUCACCGAGGUGCCGAAGAGAAAUCGUGAAACGUGCCGCCUGGGAAGUACGGUCGCAAGGCUGAAACUUAAAGGAAUUGGCGGGGGAGCAC
rnacentral:rRNA from 1 species